GUAGGGAAUAUUGCCUAAUGUGCGAAAGCGCGAGGCAGCAACGCCGCGUGUGCGAUGAAGGCCUUCGGGUCGUAAAGCACUUUUGGAGGGGAUGAGGAAGGACAGUACCCUCUGAAUAAGCCUCGGCUAACUACGUGCCAGCAGCCGCGGUAACACGUAGGAGGCGAGCGUUAUCCGGAUUUACUGGGCGUAAAGCGCGUGCAGGCGGUUCGGUAAGUUGGAUGUGAAAGCUCCUGGCUUAACUGGGAGAGGUCGUUCAAUACUACCGGACUUGAGGAUGGGAGAGGGAGGUGGAAUUCCGGGUGUAGUGGUGAAAUGCGUAGAUAUCCGGAGGAACACCAGUGGCGAAAGCGGCCUCCUGGCCCAUUUCUGACGCUCAGACGCGAAAGCUAGGGGAGCGAACGGGAUUAGAUACCCCAGUAGUCC
rnacentral:rRNA from 1 species